AUGGCGACGGAGCCGACAGAGGACAUCGAGUUCCUCUGGAAGUGGCGCAAGUACCUGCUGCUGCUCGCCACGCUGGUCGCUAGCGUCACCUACGUGGCCGGCCUCAACCCGCCGGGCGGCAUCAGGUCCGAGGAUGGAGGCAACGAGCCAGAGUACCGCGCCGGCGCCGUCCACCCGCAUCCGCCGGCACCGGCAGCCCCGGCGCCCGCGGUCUACCCGUUCCGCGUCGGCGAUCCAGUGCUCGUGCACACCUACUCGCGCCGGUACACCGCUUUCUUCUACUCCAACGCGACCGCCUUCGUCGCGUCGCUGGUGGUCAUCAUGUUCCUGCUGGACCGGCGCAUCAGCGGCAACCGCGUGGGCCUCACCGUGCUCCGCUCCGCCAUGCUGCUCGACCUGCUCGCGCUCAUGGCCGCCUUCGCCGCCGGGAGCUGCCGCAACGUGUUCGCCUCCAUCUACGUCUCCGCGCUCUUCGGCCUCGUCUUCGCCUACGUCGCCGUCCACGUCUACGCGGAAACGCGUGGGAAGAAAAUACCGGUGGACUCGUGUGCUUGGCGGAGCCCCGAGGAGGAGAAGCGCCUCAAGGAGCGCCGCAAGUUCCUCCUGCUGCUCGCCACCUUCGCCACGCCGCUGACGUACGGCGCGGGGCUGGCGCCGCCGGGAGGCUUCUGGAGCGAGACCAGGCCGGGGCAUCGCGCCGGCGCCCCGCUGCUGCACGACGGACCCUACAAGAUCCGCUACCACGCCUUCUUCUACGCCAACGCCAACUCCUUCGUCGCCUCCCUCGCCAUCAUCAUGCUCCUCGCCAGCUCCUACGCGCUGCCCGUGUGCGUCCUGGUGGAGCUGCUGGGCCUCAUGGCCGCGUACGCCGCCGGGAGCUGCCGGUGGAUCACCACCACCGUGUACAUCAUAUUCCUCGUCGGCGCCGUUUUCCUCUACAUUCUGCUGCAGGUGGUCAUCGCCGGGCACACCAAGGGCAUGUUCACGAAAUGCCGUCGACGCAUCUGCCGCAUACUGACCUGCGCCGACCUGCCGCCGCCAGACACGGAAAAGAACCAGCCGCCACCGGAGCCGGACACGCUGCCGGAGAAUGCUAUUGUUAAUGCCCCGCAAGAACAAGGAGGAGAAACGGGGACAUCCGACGCCGGCAUUGCCAAGCCUGGAGAGAAUGUGGAGGAGUCACGGUCGCUUCUGCUGCUGCUGGCGACGCUGGCCGCGACAGUGACCUACCAGGCAGGGCUGAGCCCGCCCGGCGGCGUCUGGCCGGAAGGGCGUCCGGGGCACACCGCGGGGAACCCAGUUCUCCAUGACAUGGACCCCAAGAGGUACAAGGCGUUCUACCACUGCAACACGGCGGCCUUCGUCGCGUCUCUGGUGGUCAUCGUCAUCGUCCAGAGCAAGGAGCUGAGCUCGGGCGCCGUAGUCAGGCGCGCCGCCCUCAACACGGUCAUGAUACUAGACUUGUUCGGCCUCAUGGGCGCCUAUGUUGCCGGGAGCUGCCGGGAUACCACCACCACCAUCUACGUCGCCGCCCUCGCCGUCGCCGUCUUCGUCUACUCCAUCGCCAAGGUCGUGGCGUUCUCGGCUAAGCGGCGCCAAAUCAAGCUGGUUCAAUGGGUGCAAAGCCUGUCCAUGAAGGUUGCUGGGUGCCUCAACCUUUCCCAGCCCGGGUCCGGGAAUCCUGACGACCUUGAGAGGAAGCGCAAGUUCUUGCUGCAGCUUGCCAUCCUCGCCGCCACCGUCACGUACCAGACCGGAUUGAACCCACCGGGUGGGUUUUGGACGAAGAGCAACGGGAACAAGUUGGUCACUGCCGGCGACCCAAUCCUCCUCGACUACUACGGGGUCAGGUUCUUCUAUUGCAACGCGACGGGGUUCAUGGCGUCCGUCGCCGUCAUUCUCCUCUUGGUGAACCAGACGCUGUCCAAGGGGGGCAUUCGGAGCAACGCCCUCCAUGUCUGCAUCAUGACCGGGCUGCUGGGCCUCAUGGGCGCAUAUGCUGCAGGCAGCUGCCGGAAACUGCGCACCUCCAUCUAUGUCUUUGCGCUCGUGGCCGCCGUGGUCGCCUUCCUCUUCCUGCAGAUCAUAAUUUACGUGUCCGCACACCGAGUCCGUUCGUCAGAGCUGCCAUGGGUUCCGAAGUGGUCCUUGUUCGAGACGCUGUCGACGGGGCCGGGCGGUGGCGGCCGCAAGAACAAAAGCAAGGAGAUCACCGCCGAAGAUAAACGGGAAAGCGAGAGGUACCUGAAGCGCAAGUACCUGAUGUUGCUCGGCAUCCUCGCGGCCAGCGUGACGUACCAGGCGGGUCUCGCGCCUCCCGGAGGCACGUGGGGUGACGACGACACCCCGUCGUUGUCCCCGUCGUCGUCCCCGUCGGCACACCCGCCCACCGUCGCCGGCAACCCGAUCCUGCUUGACUUCAACGCUGCACGGUACCAAGCAUUCUUCUACUGCAACGCGACUUCCUUUGUGGCCUCCGUCGUCGUCAUCCUGCUGCUGCUGCAGCGCACCGUGAAGAAGCAGCAGCCCGGCGCGCCGCUGCGGACGUUGCAGACCGCCGUGGUGCUGGACCUGCUCGGCCUGCUUGGCGCGUACGCCGUCGGCAGCUGCAGGGACUGGGAGACGUCUGCCUACGUCAUCGCGCUCGUAGCCGUCGUGGUCGUCUUCAUUGCGCUGCACGUGCUGUUGUCGUUCGACAUCGUGUUUAACAAGGCCAGGAAGCUACUGCCGAGGAAAUACUUUGGAGGUGGCAACGAUGUUGAGGCCCAGCCCAGGAAUCCCGAUCAGGCCAGCCGCCAUGACAGCAUGGAGAAUGCCUAG
rnacentral:rRNA from 1 species